rnacentral:rRNA from 1 species
UACAGAGGGUGCGAGCGUUAAUCGGAAUUACUGGGCGUAAAGCGCACGUAGGCGGCUUGGUAUGUCGGGUGUGAAAUCCCCGGGCUCAACCCGGGAACUGCGUCCGAUACUGGAAGGCUAGAGUCCGGAAGAGGAGAGUGGAAUUCCUGGUGUAGCGGUGAAAUGCGCAGAUAUCAGGAAGAACACCCGUGGCGAAGGCGGCUCUCUGGGACGGUACUGACGCUGAGACGCGAAAGCGUGGGGAGCGAACAGG